GAGUUUGAUCCUGGCUCAGGACGAACGCUGGCGGCGUGCCUAAUACAUGCAAGUCGAGCGAGCGGAACUAACAGAUUUACUUCGGUAAUGACGUUAGGAAAGCGAGCGGCGGAUGGGUGAGUAACACGUGGGGAACCUGCCCCAUAGUCUGGGAUACCACUUGGAAACAGGUGCUAAUACCGGAUAAGAAAGCAGAUCGCAUGAUCAGCUUUUAAAAGGCGGCGUAAGCUGUCGCUAUGGGAUGGCCCCGCGGUGCAUUAGCUAGUUGGUAAGGUAAAGGCUUACCAAGGCGAUGAUGCAUAGCCGAGUUGAGAGACUGAUCGGCCACAUUGGGACUGAGACACGGCCCAAACUCCUACGGGAGGCAGCAGUAGGGAAUCUUCCACAAUGGACGCAAGUCUGAUGGAGCAACGCCGCGUGAGUGAAGAAGGUUUUCGGAUCGUAAAGCUCUGUUGUUGGUGAAGAAGGAUAGAGGUAGUAACUGGCCUUUAUUUGACGGUAAUCAACCAGAAAGUCACGGCUAACUACGUGCCAGCAGCCGCGGUAAUACGUAGGUGGCAAGCGUUGUCCGGAUUUAUUGGGCGUAAAGCGAGCGCAGGCGGAAGAAUAAGUCUGAUGUGAAAGCCCUCGGCUUAACCGAGGAACUGCAUCGGAAACUGUUUUUCUUGAGUGCAGAAGAGGAGAGUGGAACUCCAUGUGUAGCGGUGGAAUGCGUAGAUAUAUGGAAGAACACCAGUGGCGAAGGCGGCUCUCUGGUCUGCAACUGACGCUGAGGCUCGAAAGCAUGGGUAGCGAACAGGAUUAGAUACCCUGGUAGUCCAUGCCGUAAACGAUGAGUGCUAAGUGUUGGGAGGUUUCCGCCUCUCAGUGCUGCAGCUAACGCAUUAAGCACUCCGCCUGGGGAGUACGACCGCAAGGUUGAAACUCAAAGGAAUUGACGGGGGCCCGCACAAGCGGUGGAGCAUGUGGUUUAAUUCGAAGCAACGCGAAGAACCUUACCAGGUCUUGACAUCUAGUGCCAUUUGUAGAGAUACAAAGUUCCCUUCGGGGACGCUAAGACAGGUGGUGCAUGGCUGUCGUCAGCUCGUGUCGUGAGAUGUUGGGUUAAGUCCCGCAACGAGCGCAACCCUUGUUAUUAGUUGCCAGCAUUAAGUUGGGCACUCUAAUGAGACUGCCGGUGACAAACCGGAGGAAGGUGGGGAUGACGUCAAGUCAUCAUGCCCCUUAUGACCUGGGCUACACACGUGCUACAAUGGGCAGUACAACGAGAAGCGAGCCUGCGAAGGCAAGCGAAUCUCUGAAAGCUGUUCUCAGUUCGGACUGCAGUCUGCAACUCGACUGCACGAAGCUGGAAUCGCUAGUAAUCGCGGAUCAGCACGCCGCGGUGAAUACGUUCCCGGGCCUUGUACACACCGCCCGUCACACCAUGGGAGUCUGCAAUGCCCAAAGCCGGUGGCCUAACCUUCGGGAAGGAGCCGUCUAAGGCAGGGCAGAUGACUGGGGUGAAGUCGUAACAAGGUAGCC
rnacentral:rRNA from 1 species